CAAAGGAAGCGAUUCCGGCGGGGGAUGGGCAUGCGGCGCAUUAGCUAGUCGGCGGGGUAACGGCCCACCGAGGCGACGAUGCGUAGGGGUUCUGAGAGGAAGGUCCCCCACACUGGUACUGAGACACGGACCAGACUCCUACGGGAGGCAGCAGUGAGGAAUAUUGGUCAAUGGGCGGGAGCCUGAACCAGCCAAGUCGCGUGUCGGUAGACGGUCCUAUGGAUUGUAAACCUCUUUUGCCGGGGAGCAACGGGGUCCUUGCGAGGGCCUAAUGAGAGUACCCGGAGAAAAAGCAUCGGCUAACUCCGUGCCAGCAGCCGCGGUAAUACGGAGGAUGCGAGCGUUAUCCGGAUUUAUUGGGUUUAAAGGGUGCGUAGGCGGGCUGUUAAGUCAGCGGUCAAAUGUCGGGGCUCAACCCCGGCCUGCCGUUGAAACUGGCGGCCUCGAGUGGGCGAGAAGUAUGCGGAAUGCGUGGUGUAGCGGUGAAAUGCAUAGAUAUCACGCAGAACUCCGAUUGCGAAGGCAGCAUACCGGCGCCCUACUGACGCUGAGGCACGAAAGCGUGGGUAUCGAACAGGAUUAGAUACCCUGGUAGUCCACGCAGUAAACGAUGAAUGCUAGCUGUCCGGUUCUACGGGACUGG
rnacentral:rRNA from 1 species